CACCGUUACCGUGGUUUCAGCGCACAUUAUCAAGUAAAUGAAGGUGGUGUGAGACAGGCGUCUAACUCUUGCCCUGAUCCGGGAGAGCCAGAGAAUGGAAAACGCCAUGGCAGCGAUUACAGCAUUGGCAGUGUGGUGCAGUUCACUUGUGGAGAAGACUAUGUUCUUCAGGGCAGUAAAACGAUCAGCUGCCAGAGAGUAGCUGAAGUCUUUGCUGCCUGGAGUGACCACAGACCGGUCUGUAAAGUGAAGACAUGUGGCAGUAAUCUCCAAGGACCGUCAGGAACCUUUACAUCUCCUAACUUCCCAAUUCAAUAUGAGAGCAACGCACAGUGUGUGU